UGGUCUGGCUGUCUGAGUAGAGCAGCAGCGGGUGGUAGAGGAGCUGGUUUUGACAUUGUUUCUCUUAUGGUGUUCUGAAUUCCAGCAGUUGUCUGGGUGUUACAAACCAAUGGUGGCCUUCUUGAAAGGGAGGCUUUUCUUAAAGUAGUGAGAAAGUGUUUAUUGAUAGUUCUAAUUUGACUUGCUGGGUCUGUUUAAUGGGGGACAUGUUUGACAUGUUUUCUUUCUUGUUCUACGUGGACUGCAAGAUCAAGUUACUAGUAACCUUUUUUCUUAUGUGUAUGCAUGGGGAAAACCAGCGUUCUGUGGAGCUGAAUCCAAUGCAGAAAGAUCUUGUACUGAAGAUUGCAGAGUUACUAUGCAGCUGAUGGAAGAGCAGAGUACUGGGUUGAGAAAGCUGCCAGGCUCUUCCCUGGGAAUCCUGCUGCUUACAGAUUGAAGGAGCAGUUACUGGAGCGUAAAGGCGAAGAUGGCUGGAAUCAGCUCUUUGAUAUGACUCAAACCGAGCUCUAUGCGAGACCAGACGAUCCCUACCUUAACAUCAGACUGGUUGCUCUCUACCGUUCAAAUAAUAGAUUAAGAGAUGCUGUGCUUCAUUGUCAGGAGGCGGAGAAGAAAAUAGCUGUAGACUCCAGCUUGGAGUGGUGUUUGUGCGUCAUAAAGACAUUUGAGGAAUAUCUUGAAUCAGUACGAGACUUGGAGGCUGAU